rnacentral:rRNA from 1 species
AUUCCAGCUCCAAGAGCGUAUAUUAAAGUUGUUGCAGUUAAAAAGCUCGUAGUUGGAUUUCUGGUACAAUGCGCCUGGCCCGCGACGGUUACGUCUGUGAGUGCCGGUGCGCGUUUGCCAUCCUUCUAGAAAACGUUUCUACCCUUCGCUGGGCCGGAUUCGCGAUCUAGAUCUUUUACUUUGAAAAAAUUAGAGUGUUUAAAGCAGGCUUUUGCUAUGAAUACAUUAGCAUGGAAUAAUAAUCUAGGACUUCGGUUCUAUUUUGUUGGUUUCUAGUACUGAAGUAAUGAUUGAUAGGGAUAGUUGGGGGUGCUAGUAUUGGCCGGCCAGAGGUGAAAUUCUUGGAUUCGGUCAAGACUAACUUAUGCGAAAGCAUUCACCAAGGAUGUCUUCAUUG